ACCCUCCCGUUCCCUUUCCCAUCGGAUCUAAGCACUGGUCCUGGCGGUCAUAAAAGGAGGAACAGGAAUACUGACACUGGCCUUACGGGCUCCGGAGUCUGCCACGAGGUGGGCGAGUUUCAAACCCGG